CCGGCGCACGGGUGAGUAACACGUAUGCAAUCCACCUGUAACAGGGGGAUAACCCGGAGAAAUCCGGACUAAUACCCCAUAAUAUGGGCGCUCCGCAUGGAGAGCCCAUUAAAGAGAGCAAUUUUGGUUACAGACGAGCAUGCGUUCCAUUAGAUAGUAGGCGGGGUAACGGCCCACCUAGUCUUCGAUGGAUAGGGGUUCUGAGAGGAAGGUCCCCCACAUUGGAACUGAGACACGGUCCAA
rnacentral:rRNA from 1 species